ACGGAGAUCAUUACGUAACACGUGUCAUGCAGUGGCUUAGAGGUUGGACCCAUCCCCAACUCACGUCAACCUGCAGAAGGAAAGACCAGUUUGCAUGGCCUUCACAUUCGAAGGUCACGGAGAUCAUUACGAAAACUUUUCAUACAGUGGUGUAGAGUUAUCUAUGGCGACGUCCUGCUGUUGAUGGCUGAGUCGGGACUGGUGUACCGGUGGUGUAACGCCGCCUUACUAAACAAAAACAAAAAUCGAUUACUACACCACCAAGGUUCCAGAGUAUUAUGCCAAAACUUAUGAUGCCCCAAGCUACUACCGUACACCGAUCCCCGAAAAUCCUUGAUCUUCAUUAAAUUACGUGUACGUGAUAGCUGCCGUGGAGUUCAGGUUUUUAUGGAGGGUUUGAUGAUUGAGCUGUCUUGUUGUGGGUGUUUGGGGUGCAGUGGUUCGGGAGUGGGUGGUUUGAGAUGCGUUGAAAUGGAGCUUGUGCAGACUUUGUUGCUUAAUGAGUUUGUCCACCAGGGGGCAACUUUCAGGUUUUAUCAAAUUGGCAACAUAGCAAGCUUAUGCCGGUGACGUCAUUUCUGUUCUGUUGCGUUGCGCUGUCAGUUAUGGUGUUCGUCAUCAGUCAACAUUCUUCUUCACAAAUCUCCUCAAGUUAAAGAAUUUCAGCUUCAUUCCUACAUUCUUUUGAUCUUGCCUGUGAUACUCAUCUGUUCUUGUCAUUUUAAGCCUUUUCCCCGUACGUUUGUUGGCUAUCUGUUGGACGGAUUAAUGGCUUAGUGAAGUCAAGUUUUUUCAAGGCAGUCCAAUGUCUACUUGGACUUGUUGCAGCCCGCUGGUUAAUGGUAUGGAGAGCUGUUGUUUGAAGACCAUGCGCUGUUGUGAUGAGUUUCUGCAUGCAGUCUGUGAUGCCGGUGUUGGGAAAUGCUGCAUGCUGUCUGUAGAGUGUAGUGCUAGCAUUGAAUUUGAAGAACUUCCUUCCUCAACAAUUGAUUGUUUGGAACAUUCAUUUUUUAUUUGAAAGCUUAAGUUUCCAUAGUCAGUUACAUGUUUGAGUUUAUAUUUGGUGUGCAGUUCAUGUUCUGGUGGUUUUGUUGCAGCCAGCUGUUGAAAGGGAGCUAGUCAAAUUGAAUUGCUGGUUCUGGAAUCAAUCUACAUUCCUGGUGUCAUCGGAGUGUAACAGCUUCCAGCAACGUAAUCAUCUUGAAAUGGACUUAUGACAAUCUGAUGCAUCUGUCUUGGUGAUAAUGAUAAUCAACCUACUGCAUGCAGUCUAUGCAGCUGGUGUUCUCCAGAAAUAUUGAAGGAAGACUUGAAACACAGCUGCAGGAAUACUUAAAGAAAUGGAUGGUGAAAAUGUUCAGCGGUUUCGUAGUCUGAUUCCUGUUCAAGAUUUUAUCCUGAAUUGCGCUGAAUUCCUUUCAGUAACUGAUUCUGAUGGCAUCCGUUGCUGUUCCGUAAAAAUACGAGUUGAUAAAAAUUUAUUAUCCGAGUUGUGUUUCAUCCUGUGUAUGUAAUUGAACAUAUUGAUGUCUUUUUACUCUCCAAGAGAUGUUGCAACGAAAGUUAUAACUGUGGUCAUCCUAGAUGAUUGAAAUACCUCGAUCCUAAUUAGUUCAUUUACUUGAUAAUUGUGUUAGUUAAACUUGAAAUUUUUUGUUAAGCCUUGCAAAUAUGUUAUUGAAAUCUUGUUUUACAUUGAUUUAAAUAUUGCAAUAAAUAAAAAAACAACUAAG